GUGGAGGGCUGGAUGGCCGCGUGCGCGUGCCCCUUGGGGUGCGUGUUCGAGGAAAGUCCGGACUCCCUGGAGCAAAGGUGCCGGGUAACGCCCGGGCGGAGCAAUCCGACGGAAAGCGCCACAGAAAACAGACCGCCCCUCGCACCGCUCUGCGGUACGGCGGGUAAGGGUGAAACGGUGGGGUAAGAGCCCACCGGGGGGCUGGCAACAGCGCCCGCAUGGCAAGCCCCACCCGGGAGCAAUGCCGAAUAGGGAUCGCAUUAUGGGAGGCUUCAUCCCCGCGGUCCGGGUUGGCAGCUGGAGCGCAUGGGUGACCAUGCGCCGAGAGGAAUGGUCAUCCAGGCCGGGGGCAACCUCGGCUGGACAAAAUCCGGCUUACAAGCUCUCCACGCGU
rnacentral:RNase_P_RNA from 1 species